ACGUUGAUAAAACAAAGUGCGCUAUCUUCUGUAUGACGGGUUACACAUUAGAACAUAUGUCAACCGUUCAAACAACCCUGGGAAAGAACUCGAGUGAUACGCGUGCGCGAGAGCACCGAACUCAGGGGAUAACUUUUCGUCGCGCACGUUUCUUGACCUCUCGCACGCGCGCGAGAAGGAGCGUCUUUUCUCAAGCUGCGUCGCUUUGGUUGGGUUCACAAACCAUUUAAUCUCAUGUUAUGGAACACAAAGCGUAAAUAAAGAAACCGAAUCCCUUACUUCCACCGUCAAAACGAACGUGUAGGUAAGUCAAAUACGACUUUCCGGUGGCCUCUGUAGCUGUUGGGUAAAGCAAGGACGUGUGACCCAGGAUGUUCUGGUUAUUUGAGAACGAUUUAAAAAUCUAUUGAACACUCUCAGCCUGCGGCUUUGGUUUUUAACCUUGGUUCUGAAACUGAUCUCUUGUUCUCGUGUUUCGUAUUACCAGAAUAAGCUACAAGAAGGUCGACUUCAUGCGCAAGCACACAACUAACCGUUCAGUAAUUAGCCCGGACCGGUUUAUCUUGUUUGAAUUCCUGUCAUAUUGUGAAACAGACAACUCAAAGGAAUAACGUCGAGAAGAUUUCCGAUUAGAAGUCUUGUAUUUAAGGUCAAGUUUCGACCAAGAUUCUAAUCUAACUUCGUCAAAACCUCAUGAACAAAUCUCCAAGGAAGAACAUUUCAAUUUUUGUUAGUUUAUGAUGAGACUGCUCUCGAAGAACUCAGAAAGAGAGGUGGAUUUCGGAGAACUUCCCACUGUCCUGCUGGACGAGGAUCACACUGUUAUUGUUCUGACAAUAGUAACAAGUUUGUUCGCGAUUUCCUGCAUUGCGCUGUUUUUCUAUUACCACUGGAGAGUCAGUUGUUACCUUGUGGAAACACGAAUUGGGAUUCAAGGAAACGAUUUUAUUUAUUUGUAUUAUUCCAAGCGUUCGUAAAGGAAUCAUUUGCCGAGACACUUUAAUGAGGUUGACCCUGGUGGCCUGUAAACUUUGUCCGGUUAAUCGGAUCUGUUGCAAGAUUUGUGUUUCUUCUUUGCUCAUGUGACGGGCGUGAACUAUAUUUUUAUGUCUCGUGUAUAGACGAUUACCACUUUAAAUCAUUUUGUUGCGCAAGGAACCAUAGUAUCUGAUUCCCGUGGGGUAAACCCCCGUGUUUUCCAGGGGGAUUUUAAAGUCAUCAAGACAUUGACAGACGAAGUCCCCGUGAUGGUUGCCCCCUUAGGAGCCUACUUAUGGCUCUUAUGAGUUCAGUGACUUCUGGGCCGGCUGACAUGGGUGAAACACUGAAAACUGAUUAUCAGAGCUUCUCAAUGUGUUUUUGUGUAAGUAUUCGCAUGAUUUCGAGUGAAAUUUGGAAUAACUUAGCCCGAGUAAUUUUCCUUAAGGCUAACGAAAUUGCGCGGGGCGAUUGCAAUUUUUAGUUUUUU